rnacentral:miRNA from 1 species
GGUUGCCACUGGUCAUGGCUUGCCUGGGACUGAGGGUUUUCCCAGGAUGCAGGACUUUUAGAUCUUAAACCAG